UGAAACAAUAUAACGAGUGAAUCCUAACCAACUUUUAAGCUCCUCGGUUGGUUGAAAUUUGUUUUUGGAUCCCGCUUUUUAGUUUGUAACUGGUUUACAAACUGAAAUGAAUGAGUGUGUCACCAAAUUUAUGUUUCUAAAAAUUUCACACAUGAACAUCAUCUCCUGCCUGCUAACACUAAGAAGAGCAUCUGGCUUUGCUGGGUAAUCUUCCAUUAAAGGUUUGUGUCUGCAUGUUGCUUCCUUGUUUCAAGACAUUAAAAGAGGAAUGAUUGUGGGUCAAAGUCAUUCCAGUUAAAUAGAAGUGACAGUGAGACCGACAAACACAAAAGUAGACAGAUGAAGACAGAGUACACCUGUGGACCAACCUGCUUCCAUUUCUGCUCCACAUUAAUAAAGCUUUACCCCCCAAAUGUAUGUUUGCGCUGGGCCAGCCUGAGCUAUAGGUAAACAAAGCUGCAAGUGCCAACAGGCCUCAGGCCCCAGUUGAAAAUCAGUUUAUUAAAGGACAUGUUGAAAAAUUCCACUUGUAUGGAGAUAUGGGUGUCUCUCAUCAAUUAAAAAAUGUAUUAAAAAAUAAUAAUGUUUUUAAUAAUUUAGUUUUAGAAAGUGAAACUAAUCAACUAUGUACAUUAAUUACACAGAGGAAAACAGAAAUUAACAGAUUAGACAGAGAAGUACAUGUUUGGCACUUUUACAAUCGGUUAAUUUUUACAAUCAAGGUUUGUAUUAGUAAUAAAAUCUCAAAUUCAACUUUGGACAUAAAAAAACAGCACAUAAUACCAAUAAGACAGGCUUUUUUUUUCUUUCUCUAGACUUACUGUGCUAAUGCCUGGAUGCAGCAACUUGUGGAAGACAGUUUCUUUAGCGAUGACCUUUUCUGUCUUACUCUCGUUGUCAAGGGUGUCAGUGACCGUCUCCUGGGCAACUUUUAUGUUUUGUCAUGAUUUUGUCGGUCACAAAAAGGCCAUAUCAUUUUAUAUAGAAAAAAAUGACCCAAUAAAUCAUCCAUAUCCAAUCAAGAAAGUCUUUCUUGAUUCAAGGCAACAGCACUACCAGCUGUGCGGUCCCUGAACAUAUACAGUAUAUAUCAACCCAAAAAUGCUUAGAAUACAUUAAUCUGUACAAAUUGAUUAUAUAUACAUGUUUAAUUUAUUAAAUGGAACUGAAUGCACAAAUUCUGCUCAGGUCUUUUCAAUCUUGGGUCGGCUCUGCAGUGAUGAACUUUGCAGACUUUUGUAAGCUUGAAACAACCCUAAAAAGUCAGAUUUUUAAAUUAGCAAGUAAGUCACGUACAGCUGCAAGAAGACUGUUAGAAGCAAAUUAUGCUGCAGUGAGAAGUUCAUAAGUUUUAUGUGCCUGUUUUAUUGUUUCAGACACUGUGAGCCUUUAACACCUGCAGCUGUUUGAGCUCUAACAUUUUUUAUGUGUCGCACAGUGGAUUAGAUUUUAUAUUACACGAGCAGGGCUGUAGUAAGUCAGAACGGCACCUCUCCGUAAUAAAUUGCAUUGGUCAGUCGUCUUUUCAGCAAGCUUUUUCGAGCAGAUCUCCGGCAGUAUUCAGUCAGUGGACACUAACAGAUAGAGAUCAGUGUCAGCUCAGCCCUGGGGCUUCACUGGGCAUUUCCUCUCUUUUGUGCCUCCCUCACAGUGUCAGUCAGAAAUGCUCAAACACACAGACACAGGGACACACAUGAAUCGGACAGACAAAUGGAAAAAGAGAAAUAGAAUCGGCCCAACAACCAGCAGUUUGGCCAGACUGAGAGGUUCUUUGGUGUAUCACAGUUCGCCCUGGGGCAUCAUUUGGCACUCCUUCCCCUCAUAUGUCACUCUACCGGGGGUCCCCUGCCCACCUCUCCAGAGGCCCUGCUGUGACUACGUUAAUGCCAAAAAUAACGUCUGUUAAUGGAGGGGAUGCAGAGGGGACAGAUCAAUAGGAGUUAUCAAUGACAUUGUUAGCUUCCUGUAAGUGAACUUAUUGUUUGUGUUCUAAGUGCCCUGAUGGCCCUGGGCUAUUUCUGUCCAGUUUACACUGUCAGCAAAAUCAUGAAAAUAAUCUUUCUGAAUGCAUCCUUUUGUUUUUUUAGACCUAGCUGCUAAAAGUCUAGUUAAAUCACAAAUAUAUUUCCAAGCACAAAUACCUAAUAAUCAGAAAGCAGCCCUGCCAUCAAAAAGACACUAGCAAAGAUUUGUGAACAUGAACAGUUGAAGAUAGAUUUCUCUUCAAUGACCAAAAAUUGUUUUUUGAAUUGUUCGAAAUCCUUUUUGCUUCAGGAUUAUGAUUUUUUUUUUUUAUACAAGGUAUGGACACAGCACAGUUUGUGCCAAAGGCAGCUUUAAAGAAAGCAACAGCCAGUUCAACAUAUACAUGCAGCUCACUAUAAACACGGGAAGGAUUCUUCACUUCAUGAAGAGGGCAUGAUAAUUCAAGGAAAAAUGGGGAAAUAAAUUCUGCUGGAUGAAAACAUGUCACUGCUAGUAAAGGACAAAGUAAAGAUGUUCCUUUUUACAAUAAACUUUAAACAACUUGA